rnacentral:rRNA from 1 species
GACGUAGGAUGCAAGCGUUGUCCGGAAUUAUUGGGCGUAAAGAGCGAGCAGGCGGUUCGUCAAGUCAGAUGUGAAAUAUCCCGGCUUAACCGGGAGGGGCCAUUUGAAACUGACGGACUAGAGUGGAGCAGAGGAUAGUGGAAUUCCCGGUGUAGUGGUGAAAUGCGUAGAUAUCGGGAGGAACACCAGUGGCGAAGGCGACUAUCUGGGCUUUAACUGACGCUGAGGCGCGAAGGCCGGGGGAGCAAACAGG